rnacentral:lncRNA from 1 species
UCAGACUGUUCCACUAUCAUUGGUUUGUCAUCUUCUGCCUUGAAUUCCAUCUCCUAGCUACCUCUAUGGCUACCUGGGUUAUGUGGAUGAAGCUCAGGAAGAGGAUCCCUAAGACUAUAGCAGGAAAGUUCUAAGCAGACAUGGAAGUCACUGGGCUGGUUGAGCUUUGAUCUGGGAAAAUGGAAGGCCGGGUUUCUGGGUGCCCACUGCCAACUUUUGCAGCAAGAGUGAGCCUUGUUGAUCCUGCUGGCUC